rnacentral:rRNA from 1 species
GACGAACGCUGGCGGCGUGCUUAACACAUGCAAGUCGAACGGAAAGGCUCCAGCUUGCUGGAGUACUCGAGUGGCGAACGGGUGAGUAACACGUGGGUAAUCUGCCCUGCACUCUGGGAUAAGCCUGGGAAACUGGGUCUAAUACUGGAUAUGACCUUUCUCCUUAUGGGGUUUGGUGGAAAGUUUUUCGGUGUAGGAUGAGCCCGCGGCCUAUCAGCUUGUUGGUGGGGUGAUGGCCUACCAAGGCGACGACGGGUAGCCGGCCUGAGAGGGUGAUCGGCCACAUUGGGACUGAGAUACGGCCCAGACUCCUACGGGAGGCAGCAGUGGGGAAUAUUGCACAAUGGGCGGAAGCCUGAUGCAGCGACGCCGCGUGAGGGAUGACGGCCUUCGGGUUGUAAACCUCUUUCAGCAGGGACGAAGCGUAAGUGACGGUACCUGCAGAAGAAGUACCGGCUAACUAUGUG